rnacentral:rRNA from 1 species
CUACAAAGGAAUUGACGGGGACCCGCACAAGCAGCGGAGCGUGUGGUUUAAUUCGUAGAUACACGAAGAACCUUACCUGGGUUUGACAUAUAGGUUGUAGGGAACUGAAAGGGACCGACCCUUCGGGGAGCCUAUACAGGUGUUGCAUGGCUGUCGUCAGCUCGUGUCGUGAGAUGUUCGGUUAAGUCCGCUAACGAGCGCAACCCUCGUCGUAUGUUAUAUGUGUCAUACGAGACUGCCGGUAAAAAGCCGGAGGAAGGUGAGGAUGAUGUCAAGUCAGCAUGACCUUUAUAUCCAGGGCUACACACACGCUACAAUGGUCUGUACAAUGGGUAGCCAAGCCGCGAGGCGGAGCCAAUCCUGAAAGCAGGCCUCAGUUCAGAUUGCAGUCUGCAACUCGACUGCAUGAAGCCGGAGUUGCUAGUAACCGCAGGUCAGCAAUACUGCGGUGAAUACGUUCCCGGGUCUU